AAAUUGAAGAGUUUGAUCAUGGCUCAGAUUGAACGCUGGCGGCAGGCCUAACACAUGCAAGUCGAACGGUAACAGGGAUCAGCUUGCUGAUUCGCUGACGAGUGGCGGACGGGUGAGUAAUGUCUGGGAAACUGCCUGAUGGAGGGGGAUAACUACUGGAAACGGUAGCUAAUACCGCAUAACGUCGCAAGACCAAAGAGGGGGACCUUCGGGCCUCUUGCCAUCGGAUGUGCCCAGAUGGGAUUAGCUAGUAGGUGGGGUAACGGCUCACCUAGGCGACGAUCCCUAGCUGGUCUGAGAGGAUGACCAGCCACACUGGAACUGAGACACGGUCCAGACUCCUACGGGAGGCAGCAGUGGGGAAUAUUGCACAAUGGGCGCAAGCCUGAUGCAGCCAUGCCGCGUGUAUGAAGAAGGCCUUCGGGUUGUAAAGUA
rnacentral:rRNA from 1 species